UACAGAGGUCUCAAGCGUUGUUCGGAUUCAUUGGGCGUAAAGGGUGCGUAGGUGGCGCUGUAAGUCGGGUUUGAAAUUUCGGAGCUUAACUCCGAAACUGCAUUCGAUACUGCGGUGCUUGAGGACUGGAGAGGAGACUGGAAUUCAUGGUGUAGCAGUGAAAUGCGUAGAGAUCAUGAGGAAGACCAGUGGCGAAGGCGGGUCUCUGGACAGUUCCUGACACUGAGGCACGAAGGCCAGGGGAGCAAACGGG
rnacentral:rRNA from 1 species